rnacentral:rRNA from 1 species
UAGCUAGUUGGUGAGGUAAAGGCUUACCAAGGCGACGAUCUGUAGCGGGUCUGAGAGGAUGAUCCGCCACACUGGAACUGAGACACGGUCCAGACUCCUACGGGAGGCAGCAGUGGGGAAUUUUGGACAAUGGGGGCAACCCUGAUCCAGCCAUGCCGCGUGAGUGAAGAAGGCCUUCGGGUUGUAAAGCUCUUUCGGCCGGGAAGAAAUCGCAUGGGCCAAUACCCUGUGUGGAUGACGGUACCGGAAUAAGAAGCACCGGCUAACUACGUGCCAGCAGCCGCGGUAAUACGUAGGGUGCGAGCGUUAAUCGGAAUUACUGGGCGUAAAGCGUGCGCAGGCGGUUUUGUAAGACAGGCGUGAAAUCCCCGGGCUUAACCUGGGAACUGCGUUUGUGACUGCAAGGCUAGAGUACGGCAGAGGGGGGUGGAAUUCCACGUGUAGCAGUGAAAUGCGUAGAGAUGUGGAGGAACACCAAUGGCGAAGGCAGCCCCCUGGGUCGAUACUGACGCUCAUGCACGAAAGCGUGGGUAGCAAACAGGAUUAGAUACCCUGGUAGUCCACGCCCUAAACUAUGUCAACUAGGUGUUGGGUGGGUAAAACCAUUUAGUACCGUAGCUAACGCGUGAAGUUGACCGCCUGGGGAGUACGGCCGCAAGGUUAAAACUCAAAGGAAUUGACGGGGACCCGCACAAGCGGUGGAUGAUGUGGAUUAAUUCGAUGCAACGCGAAAAACCUUACCUACCCUUGACAUGCCAGGAACUUGCCAGAGAUGGCUUGGUGCCCGAAAGGGAGCCUGGACACAGGUGCUGCAUGGCUGUCGUCAGCUCGUGUCGUGAGAUGUUGGGUUAAGUCCCGCAACGAGCGCAACCCUUGUCGUUAAUUGCCAUCAUUUAGUUGGGCACUUUAACGAGACUGCCGGUGACAAACCGGAGGAAGGUGGGGAUGACGUCAAGUCCUCAUGGCCCUUAUGGGUAGGGCUUCACACGUCAUACAAUGGUCGGUACAAAGGGUUGCCAAGCCGCGAGGCGGAGCCAAUCCCAGAAAGCCGAUCGUAGUCCGGAUUGCAGGCUGCAACUCGCCUGCAUGAAGUCGGAAUCGCUAGUAAUCGUGGAUCAGCAUGUCACGGUGAAUACGUUCCCGGGUCUUGUACACACCGCCCGUCACACCAUGGGAGCGGGUUCCGCCAGAAGUAGGUAGCCUAACCGCAAGGGGGGCGCUUACCACGGCGGGGUUCGUGACUGGGGUGCAGUCGGAACAAGGUAGCCGUAGGGGAACCUGCGGCUG